GACGGGGGGAGCAAGCGUUGUUCGGAUUUACUGGGCGUAAAGGGCGUCUAGGCGGGUAAGUCAGUCAGGUGUGAAAUCCCCCGGCUCAACCGGGGAACUGCACUUGAUACUUCUUAUCUUGAGUUCGGAAAAGGGAAGCGGAAUUCCUGGUGUAGCGGUGAAAUGCGUAGAUAUCAGGAAGAACACCGGUGGCGAAGGCGGCUUCCUGGCCCGUAACUGACGCUGAAGCGCGAAAGUGUGGGGAGCAAACAGGAUUAGAUACCCGAGUA
rnacentral:rRNA from 1 species